rnacentral:misc_RNA from 1 species
UGCCAGCGAGCUAUAGUGCUGCAUUGAAGAAUAAGUUGUGAAAGAAGAAGAUGAUGAUGAUAGAGGGGAAGAACUAAGAAGAUUGAUUGAGCAACUUUAAGGAGUUACGUAAGGGUAACUCUUAAUUAAGUACUACUAAUAACAAAAAUAAAUGCAAAAUGAGAAGAUUAAACAUGGUUUGGUUGAGAUUCUGCAAAGUUUG